rnacentral:rRNA from 1 species
GCAGACGGGUGAGUAAUGUAUAGGAAUCUACCUAGUAGUACGGAAUAAUUGUUGGAAACGACAACUAAUACCGUAUACGCCCUACGGGGGAAAAAUUUAUUGCUAUUAGAUGAGCCUAUAUUAGAUUAGCUAGUUGGUGGGGUAAUAGCCUACCAAGGUAAUGAUCUAUAGCUGAUCUGAGAGGAUGAUCAGCCACACUGGAACUGAGAUACGGUCCAGACUCCUACGGGAGGCAGCAGUGGGGAAUAUUGGACAAUGGGCGAAAGCCUGAUCCAGCCAUGCCGCAUGAGUGAAGAAGGCCUUUGGGUUGUAAAGCUCUUUUAGUGAGGAAGAUAAUGACGGUACUCACAGAAGAAGUCCUGGCUAACUCCGUGCCAGCAGCCGCGGUAAUACGGAGAGGGCUAGCGUUAUUCGGAAUUAUUGGGCGUAAAGGGCGCGUAGGCUGGUUAAUAAGUUAAAAGUGAAAUCCCGAGGCUUAACCUUGGAAUUGCUUUUAAAACUAUUAAUCUAGAGAUUGAAAGAGGAUAGAGGAAUUCCUGAUGUAGAGGUAAAAUUCGUAAAUAUUAGGAGGAACACCAGUGGCGAAGGCGUCUAUCUGGUUCAAAUCUGACGCUGAAGCGCGAAGGCGUGGGGAGCAAACAGGAUUAGAUACCCUGGUAGUCCACGCUGUAAACGAUGAAUGUUAAAUAUGGGGAGUUUACUUUCUGUAUUACAGCUAACGCGUUAAACAUUCCGCCUGGGGACUACGGUCGCAAGAUUAAAACUCAAAGGAAUUGACGGGGACCCGCACAAGCGGUGGAGCAUGUGGUUAAUUCGAUGCAACG